ACCUCAUGGACCCGAAAAGUGAGUGAACUCGACCGAGAUCCCGACCUGAGAUGGUCACGCGGCUCUGAAUCGUUCACCCACCCGGUCACCAACUCUGUUACGAAUAGGAUAGUUUGGAACCUCCACCCGACUUAGAUCCGGACUGGGAUUCAUCCUCAUGGACCCGAGGAGUUCGAGAUCACGAACUGAGCUGGUCACGCGGCUCAGACUCGUUCACCCACCCAGUCACCAACUCUGUUACGAAUCGGAUAGUUUGGAACCCUCCACCCGACUUAGAUCCGGACUGGGAUUCAUCCUCAUGGACCCGAGAAGUGAGUCAACUCGAACGAGAUCCCGCACAGAUACUG
rnacentral:lncRNA from 1 species